rnacentral:rRNA from 1 species
GAUGAACGCUAGCGGGAGGCUUAACACAUGCAAGUCGAGGGGUAAAUGGUAGCAAUACUAUGAGACCGGCGGACGGGUGCGUAACGCGUAUGCAACAUACCUUGUGCAGGGGGAUAGCCCGUGGAAACGCGGAUUAAUAUUCCAUAGUCCAGCUAUAUCGCAUGGUAUAGUUGGUAAAGAUUUAUCGGCACAAGUUUGGCAUGCGUCUGAUUAGCUUGUUGGUAGGGUAACGGCCUACCAAGGCUACGAUCAGUAGGGGUUCUGAGAGGAUUAACCCCCACACUGGUACUGAGACACGGACCAGACUCCUACGGGAGGCAGCAGUGAGGAAUAUUGGUCAAUGGGCGGAAGCCUGAACCAGCCAUCCCGCGUGAAGGAAGACAGCCUUACGGGUUGUAAACUUCUUUUCUGUCAGAAGAAUAAGCUUGUCGAGACGAGUGAUGCCGGUAUGACAGGAAUAAGCAUCGGCUAACUCCGUGCCAGCAGCCGCGGUAAACUCG